rfam:Castellaniella defragrans 65Phen complete genome
GGGGCCGAUUUGGCUUCGACGUGGGUCGCAAAACAGGAUAGUGCAUACCGAGCACCAGUACGCUCGUAAAUCCACUGGAAAACUACAAACGCCAACGACGAGCGUUUCGCUCUGGCCGCUUAAGCGGUGAGCCGCUGCACCGACUUGUCCCUGGGUCGGGUGGGGUCAAACCCACAGCAGCGUCAUUCACAGGGAAUCGGGCUCGACCAGGUCGCUGGGUCGGGUCUUAAAUCAGUGCGAAUCGCCGAGGAAGGGCCUGUCGUCCGGCAUGAUCCAAGGUUAAAACUCAAAAUAGGCCGACUAAGUAUGUAGAGCUACUUGCGGAGGGCUUGCGGACGGGGGUUCAAUUCCCCCCGGCUCCACCA